ACACACACAGAGCCGAGCACAGAGGACCACAGCAGACAGGAUGAAGCUUUACUUUCACUCUACAAAAUCUGGCGAUGCAGCACCUUCCCACAGAGAUUUAAUUUGGCUCUCUGAAAUGAAAAAAUGAGCACCCGCCCCGCCCUGAUGUAUAGACAGCUUUGAACCAGGGUGGGUGGUGGUCAGGGUUUUUUCAGAGAGCCAGAGCCAGAGUCCGAAGGGCUUCAUCAGGGUUGUCUGCGGUAGUCAGUCAUUGGAAAGGGCCAAACGGAGGAGCCAGUCAGGGAUCUCAGGAUGUGGUCAUGGAAGAUGGGUCGUUCCACAUGGCCGCCACGUCUCUGAACCUGGAGGACGAUGAUGAGACAUUAGGCACAUAUGCUGCUGGUGAUGAAAAGUGCCAAGAAAUGCAGCAAUGCACCAGCAAAGGCAGACAAGAAGAACACUGCUCGCUAUCAAAACAUCCGCUUUUCGACUUUAAGAUUACAGACA